rnacentral:sRNA from 1 species
GGGAGUCAUGGCAGCCAUGGUGGUCAGCGCACCUGCGUGCAGGCAAAUGAGGCAAGGCUGAGCCCAGCGGGCGGGCGAGUUACUGCGCGCGCACCUCACCCGCCCCCUGCAUUCCCCUCCUUCGCCGGCAGGUGGAGAUGACGGGCAGCAGCGUCUUCGACUACAUUCACCCUGGGGACCACUCAGAGGUGCUGGAGCAACUGGGGCUGCGGACGCCGACGCCCGGCCCCCCAACCCCGCCCUCCGUCUCCUCUUCCUCCUCCUCUUCCUCUUCGCUUGCAGAUACCCCCGAGAUCGAGUCAGCGACCACAUGGACCUGGGGCCCUCAGAGCUGGUGGGCCGCAGCUGCUACCAGUUUGUCCACGGACAGGACGCCACGAGGAUCCGCCAGAGCCACGUGGACUGUGAGACCCACCUCCACCCACCAAGCCUGCCUACCACCCCCUAGACCCGAGCAUCCCACUCCCUGGUCCCUGGAAGUCCUUCUUCAGGGCUGCCCACAGUCCCUCCUGCUGCACCUACAGCUCCAGGGACUCCGUUUAGCAUUGGAAGAGCAGCAAGGAGACUGAGUGAUGCCUCAGGAUGAGGGGGGGGUCUGGGGGGC